rnacentral:rRNA from 1 species
UACAGAGGGGGCAAGCGUUAUUCGGAAUUAUUGGGCGUAAAGGGCGCGUAGGCGGCUUUGCAAGUGGCGGGUGAAAUCCCUCGGCUUAACCGAGGAACUGCCUGUCAAACUGCAUGGCUUGAGACCAGGAGAGGUGAGUGGAAUUCCCAGUGUAGCGGUGAAAUGCGUAGAUAUUGGGAGGAACACCAGUGGCGAAGGCGGCUCACUGGACUGGUACUGACGCUGAUGCGCGAAAGCUAGGGGAGCGAACAGG